GACGAACGCUGGCGGCGUGCUUAACACAUGCAAGUCGAACGAAGAGCGACGGAAGCUUGCUUCUAUCAAUCUUAGUGGCGAACGGGUGAGUAACGCGUAAUCAACCUGCCCUUCAGAGGGGGACAACAGUUGGAAACGACUGCUAAUACCGCAUACGAUCUAACCUCGGCAUCGAGGAUAGAUGAAAGGUGGCCUCGACAUGUAAGCUAUCACUGAAGGAGGGGAUUGCGUCUGAUUAGCUAGUUGGAGGGGUAACGGCCCACCAAGGCGAUGAUCAGUAGCCGGUCUGAGAGGAUGAACGGCCACAUUGGGACUGAGACACGGCCCAGACUCCUACGGGAGGCAGCAGUGGGGAAUCUUCCGCAAUGGACGAAAGUCUGACGGAGCAACGCCGCGUGAGUGAUGACGGCCUUCGGGUUGUAAAGCUCUGUUAAUCGGGACGAAAGGCCUUCUUGCGAAUAGUGAGAAGGAUUGACGGUACCGGAAGAGAAAGCCACGGCUAACUACGUG
rnacentral:rRNA from 1 species